GUAAAGAUCCCAUUUUUGUAGAGGCAGGGUGGGAGAGCGAGAGCGAUAAACCGUGACAAGGGAGGUUUGCUGCUGUCCGGAGGGAUGCCGAUCGUUGAUUCCGAGUCCCUGCGCCGCUCGAUUCGCGAGAAGUGGAAGAAGGUAUGGACCAAGAGGGCUCUGAUGGGCUUGGUGUUGGGCCAGUUCGUUUCCCUUCUCAUCACCUCCACCGCCUUCUCCUCCUCCGAGCUCGCCAGGAGAGGCGUGAAUGCUCCGACCUCGCAGUCGUUCUUGAAUUACCUUCUCCUUGCAAUAUUUUACGGCGCUUAUGUCAUCUACCGAAGGCGGCCACUUCAGAUAAAUUGGUACUACUAUUUGAUACUCGGUAUAGUUGAUGUGGAAGCCAAUUUUAUUGUUGUCAAGUCUUACCAGUACACAUCUUUGACAAGUGUCAUGCUUCUGGAUUGUUGGGCAAUUCCAUGCGUGAUUCUUCUCACAUGGUUGUUCUUGAAGACAAAAUAUGGAUAUAGGAAAUUCACUGGUGUUGCUAUUUGUGUUGCUGGCAUUGUAAUGGUUGUAUUCUCCGAUGUUCAUGCCAGUGACCGUGCAGAAGGUAAUUUGCCGCUUAUUGCGACUCCUAGUCCUCUUAUAAUUCUUUUAUAAUGUUGCUAUUAGUCUGUUUCCGCCGAAUUUAUUGUCAAGGAGGGCGAUAGAAUUGAGUUGAUGGCUAUGCUUGGAGUAUUUGGAGCAGUUGUUAGUGCUAUUCAAAUAACCAUACUUGAGCGCAAUGAGCUUAAAGAUAUUAAUUGGACAGCUGGUGCAGUGCUACCAUUUCUUGGAUUUGCAUUGGCACUGUUUCUGUUUUACUCUACUGUUCCCAUCAUUCUUAAGAUAUGUGGAGCAACCCUGCUAAAUCUUUCUCUGCUAACCUCAGACAUGUGGGCUGUUUUUAUCCGUAUUUUUGCUUAUCACCAGAAGGUUGACUGGAUGUACUUCAUAGCUUUUGCGGCUGUUGCAGUUGGGAUUGUGACUUAUUCAGGAGGCAAGAAGAAGGAUGCAGAAAAUGUGCAAGUUGCAGAGGCUAGUGAUGAACGGGACAAAAUAAAGGAUGAAGAAGCUGGAGAGGACUAUAUCACUCAAGGUUUCACUGCAGCAGUUGAGGGCCAAAGUUCUGAGAAUGCCAAGCAACAACCUUUCAUCACAAUUUCACCCAACUAAGUCUCCAUCACGGCGGAAAGCCAACUUAAAAACGGAGGCAAAGGCAAGAAGGAAAUGGCUACUGUCGGAGUUAUGUUAGGGACACCGAUGCCUUGCCAUUCUUUCACCGAUGAGAACAGAUCGAAGCAGUGGUAGCAGCAGCAGUCGCGAAUCAUCCAAAUACAAGUAAACUCCAUGGAACUCUUGGUGCCACUGGAUAAUACUCUGCCAGAGUAUCUGCUGCAGUCAAUUGUAGCCUUGAUGUGUAUCUAGUCAUGGUGUUACUGCUAGUUCUAUCCAGGUGAUGAUGCUUGGUGAAGCUCUUCUUGCAUGCUUGUGUGAUCAAAAGAAGGAAUCCAGCUUCAUUAACAAUCUGAAUGUAUAGGAGUUGGUUUUCUGAUCUGUUGACCUUAACCAUAAGAAUUGUUAUCUGCAACUCAAAAUUAAUGAGUUAAUUUGCAUAUUGCACAUUACGAGGAUC